rnacentral:pre_miRNA from 1 species
AGUGGGAUAGCUGGGACAAAUGGUGUUCCUUUCCAGGUUUUCUAAGGAAUCUCUGUAUUGCUUUCCAGAGUGGUUGCACCAAUUUGCAAAUCCCACCAGCAAU